CAGUCGCCGCGGUAAAACGAGGGGUGCAAGCGUUAUUCGGAUUGAUUGGGUGUAAAGGGUGUGCAGACGGCUUAUUAAGUCACUUGUUAAAUUCUUCGGCCUAACUGAAGGUCUGCAAGUGAUACUGAUGAGCUAGAGGGUGGAAGAGAGAAGUGGAAUUCUCGGAGUAGCGGUAAAAUGCGUAGAUCUCAAGAGGAACACCAACGGCGAAAGCACUCUGCUGGGCCGACACUGGCACUGAGAGACGAAAGCUAGGGGAGCAAAUGGGAUUAGAUACCCGCGUAGUCCCUGUCUCUUAUAA
rnacentral:rRNA from 1 species